rnacentral:rRNA from 1 species
AUUGAACGCUGGCGGCAGGCCUAACACAUGCAAGUCGAACGGUAACAGGUCUUCGGAUGCUGACGAGUGGCGAACGGGUGAGUAAUACAUCGGAACGUGCCUAGUAGUGGGGGAUAACUACUCGAAAGAGUGGCUAAUACCGCAUGAGAUCCACGGAUGAAAGCAGGGGAUCGCAAGACCUUGUGCUACUAGAGCGGCCGAUGGCAGAUUAGGUAGUUGGUGGGAUAAAAGCUUACCAAGCCGACGAUCUGUAGCUGGUCUGAGAGGACGAUCAGCCACACUGGGACUGAGACACGGCCCAGACUCCUACGGGAGGCAGCAGUGGGGAAUUUUGGACAAUGGGCGAAAGCCUGAUCCAGCAGUGCCGCGUGCAGGAUGAAGGCCUUCGGGUUGUAAACUGCUUUUGUACGGAACGAAAAGCCCCGGGUUAAUACCCUGGGGUCAUGACGGUACCGUAAGAAUAAGCACCGGCUAACUACGUGCCAGCCGCCGCAGUAACAC